rnacentral:rRNA from 1 species
AGCAGCCGCGGUAAUUCCAGCUCCAAUAGCGUAUAUUAAAGUUGUUGCAGUUAAAAAGCUCGUAGUUGAAUUUCGAGACCGGUCUACUGGUCGUGCUUUUGUACGUACUGGUAUAAUCGGUUUCUCUCUUCUGACGAACUAUAAUGCCAUUAAUUUGGUGUUUUAGGGAAUCAGGACUGUUACUUUGAAAAAAUUAGAGUGUUUAAAGCAGGCUCACGCUUGAAUACAUUAGCAUGGAAUAACGAAAUAGGACGUUUGAUUCUAUUUUGUUGGUUUCUAGGAUCGACGUAAUGAUUAAUAGGGAUAGUUGGGGGCAUUAGUAUUCAAUUGUCAGAGGUGAAAUUCUUGGAUUUAUUGAAGACUAACUACUGCGAAAGCAUUUGCCAAGGAUGUUUUCAUUAAUCAAGAACGAAAGUUAGGGGAUCGAAGACGAUCAGAUACCGUCGUAGUCUUAACCAUAAACUAUGCCGACUAGGGAUCGGAUGAUGUUAAUUUUUUAAUGACUCA